AUAAUAAAACAGAAGAAACAUCAACACCUACUAAAAUACUACCAACAGAAAUAUUGAAAAAAUAUGAAAUAACUAUAAGAGAUGAUUUAGCAGUGUAACAACAGAAGAAGAAGAGCAAAAUAAAGAAAAAGAUAUAAAUAGAAAUUUAAUGUUAAAACUAGCAAUAUGUAAUAUGUGUUAUAUAGAUGAGUAUACGUGCGC
rnacentral:lncRNA from 1 species